AUUGGGGAAUCUUCCGCAAUGGGCGAAAGCCUGACGGAGCAACGCCGCGUGAGGGAUGAAGGCCUCUGGGCUGUAAACCUCUUUUUUCAAGGAAGAAGAUCUGACGGUACUUGAAGAAUAAGCCACGGCUAAUUCCGUGCCAGCAGCCGCGGUAAUACGGGAGUGGCAAGCGUUAUCCGGAAUUAUUGGGCGUAAAGCGUCCGCAGGCGGCCAUGUAAGUCUGUCGUUAAAGCGUGGAGCUUAACUCCAUUUCAGCGAUGGAAACUGCAAGGCUUGAGUGUGGUAGGGGCAGAGGGAAUUCCCGGUGUAGCGGUGAAAUGCGUAGAUAUCGGGAAGAACACCAGUGGCGAAGGCGCUCUGCUGGGCCAUAACUGACGCUCAUGGACGAAAGCCAGGGGAGCGAAAGGGAUUAGAUACCCCUGUAGUCAAU
rnacentral:rRNA from 1 species